UUAUUUUUUUACAUUUUUUAUUUAUUUAGUAUUUAAAUAAUUAUAAAAAAUAGAAAAUAAAAUAAAUCCCACAACAUCUCUCUCUCACACACACAAAUAGAUGUACAAGAUCUUCUUCAUAAAAAUGGAUGCCACCAUUACUACGGUAGUCUUAAGCUAGAUCGACCAUAGAAGCUCAAAGUUUUCGACCAAACAAAAACUGGUGUGAAGGGCCUUGUAGAUGAUGAAAUCCGCCAAAUCCCUCCCAUCUUCUUCCAAUCACCAUAACACAUCCCACAAAACCUUAACUGCUGCAAUCGACCCAUAGAGCAUACAUGGUGGAGAUGAUCUGUGAAGGCUCGACAAACCUAGUCAUUUUUCAGGUGGUGAAUUAUGGAAUCCCUGAGAUAUUAUUGGAGGUUUGUAGAGACAUUCAAAUCGAGUACUCAAAUCAGGUGAUGAAAUUAAGAGGCAUACUUUUCCGAUUAUUCUCAAAGGCCUUGGGAUUGGACGCAAAUCACCUCGAGGAUCUCAAUUGUAGCAAGGGGCUUUUAUUCUCCGACCAUUAUUGCCCUGCUUAUCGAUAGAGAACCCUAGGGUCUUCAAAAUCUUUUAAUCAGAGUGUUUGUGUAGAGAUGAAGGUGGCCGAAAUAAUCUAGGUGGAGACGGAGCUGGUUGAAGGUGGUGGUGGCGGACGAUGAUGGCAGUUGGUGGUAAUAAUGGAAGCCGGUGGUUAAUUUUACUUUCCAUUAUUGAAGGUUUGUACUUGAGUGUUUGUGUAUGUUUGUAUUUUCUUGUGUAUCAAUAUACAUAUGCCUGUCUAUUUUGGAGAACAAAAUCAGAAAAUGUGAUGUGUGUAUAUGUGUUCAUGAAAA